AGUCUUAAUUUACCCGCUUAAAAAUACAUAAAAAUGCUUAAUCUAUCAUGGUCGUUUCGACUGCUCCCCCCUCCCUUCUCAUGCAAUGGACUAUUCCAUGUUACUGCGCAUGUGCAGUCUUGGUUCAGGAAGACGUUAGCAAAACAAACUUUGGCGCGGUUUUGAGCUGAGAAAACUGAAGCGGAGUUACGCUAGUGGAGCGGAGAAGAGGAGAAGAGGAGAAGGAGAGAGGACAGCAAACUGUUUUUUAUCAAAACUACCAAAAGAGUCAACUUUGUUUCCCAGUGACACUGAAUGUAGCCGCAGGUCCCCGACAACAGCAAGAGCCAGAAGCUGCUGUCAGUAGCACCGCUGUCAGUGUCAGCCGAGGAGGAGAUGAAGCGGAGAGAGACACAGGGACGCUUUUCAUCACAAACAUGAGAUGGAGUCACUGUGGUGAAAGAAGGAGACCCUGACUACUGACAAGGGUCUUUGCUCCAUGCAGCCACAUGAUCUUGGGCUCAGGACGGCCGAUGUAGACGGCAUGGAUGCGCAGAGUGGUCCCCAGGCCGGCAUAGUAUGUUUCCUUCAGUGGGUAGUCUGGAUGGAAGGAUGGAGCAGCCUCCAACACCAGGACACCUGUGGUUUCAGCCUCUCCAGCAUCGUUGAUGGCCUUGCAGGUACUCUCGAAGGACUUCCUGUACUCUACCCAGUAGCCCAGGACCUCUUUUCCACCGUCACACUCUGGAGCUUGCCAGCGGAUGGUAAUGAAGUUGUUUGACACGUUUACUGUGUCAAUCUCGCCUGGUUGGCUUGGCUUGUCUGUGAAGGAAGACACAAAAAUCUUGUUAUAACAGCAGGAGGUCGUACAUGCCAGAGUCACUCCUCUCAGCUUCCUUGAUCACCAGCUCGCUGGCAUCCUCAUUGGAGGCAAUCAUGGCUUUAUCGGAGACUUCACCACCAUCCUUCAGCCACUUGCAGGAGGACUCCAAGCAAGUGAGACAGAGGAUUUGGUGGUAUCAAUGAUCCUUGGAUUCUGAGGACAGCCAGGUGGAUCUGAGUGGAGAAGGUAGUGGAUCAACGGGCUACCACCAUCACUCUCUGGCUUCAGCCAUUCAAUGGUGGCAAAGUCCUUUCCUGAUGCCAGGAUCUCGGGAGCACCAGGAGGCGUGGGCACAGCUGGAGGAUAGAAAGGUCUUUCGCGCUGUACUGCAUGUUUUUGGACCUCAUCAGCUCCUUGUACUUGUCGUCACCAUUGAGAACCUCCAGAACAUAGCAGAUGAUGCGACUGCCACCAUCAGUAAGGGGUUUCUUCCAGCUUAGAGUGCAAGAGUCCUUGGUAACCAGGAGGGUCUUGAAGUCCAUAACAGGCCCAGGCUCCUCUGGAAAAUUUAAAACAAGAACAGUGACCUUGGGAAUGGGACGGCCCUUGAUGGUGGCCUGCAGCCUCAUGGUGGCACCAGCUUGCAGCUCCAGGACCUCCUUCAGCUCAGCACUCAGCUCUGCCUCGGGAGCAACUGCAUGAACACACAGGUUCCUGGGGACAUUGCAGCGGAUCCAGUCUGCAGUGCCGAUCCUCUUGCACUCCACCAAGUAACCAAUAAUAGGGCUUCCACCAUCAUUGGCCGGAGCAGUCCAGGUUGGGGCAGGUUUUCCGGAAACCAGUGCUUCUACUCUGAGCUUGGCUCCAGCUCUGGCACCUGCUGUCUCUGGCAUGACAAUCUUUGGCUCCACUGCAGAGAGGAUCGAUAGCCUUGAUGGGUGUCUUGGUCACCACAAAGUCACUCCUGCCAAACUGGUUCUCAGCAGCCACUCUGAACAGGUACUGGAUUCCUUCCAUAAGGUACAUGGCCAUCAGACUCAGCUUUUUAUUGGCGGGAGAGACAGGCACCCACUGAUCGGCAGCCACAUCUUUCUUCUGCACAACAUAAUGGGAGAUGACAGCACCCCCAUUGUCCUCAGGGACCUUCCAUGUCAGCAUUCUCCGCGGUGAUGGUGUAGUUGCCAGAGUCUGUGCGGACUGACUUCGGGAUGAAGACUUUGCUGCCGGUGGCGGUGACAGCAACAGUUACGUGUGAAGGAAUGUCACCAUCAUUCUUCUUCCAGCUGACGGGUCAGAUUUGCCAGCAGCAUUUACGGUGAAGAUCCGGAAGACAUAUUCCUGUCCAUCGGCCAGGCCUGUCACCACAUAGUGGAGGUCGGGACACUGCUCUGGCGUCUCAUUGGCUGGAUUCCACUCCACGGCACCGGGCUUCUGGUACUCAACGAGCUGCAGUCUCAACAAAUGGCCCAAUGCCGAUGGCGUUCUCAGCAGCCACUCUGAAGAAAUAGGCCUUUCCGGUGUUACUGAUGGGAGAACCCCCAUCGUUCUCGGGGAAGUACCAGUUGAUCUUGCAGGAGUCGCAGCUCAGGUUCUCUGCAGUAAGGGGGAUGCCAACGGGCCCAGGGACAUCUAAAGGAGGACACAGACAGCAUUCUUGGCAGUCAACGUGUAAACGCCGAGGUGCCUCCUGACACAGGGUUUGAUGACCAGAGCAGAGCUGAUAGCUGUUGUCUCUACUUUAGCCUCAGGAGGCAGUGCAGCUCCAUCUCUGCUCCAGGUGACCUCUGGGGAUGGCUGGCCAGACAC